rnacentral:rRNA from 1 species
UAGAGAUCUGGAGGAAUACCGGUGGCGAAGGCGGCCCCCUGGACGAAGACUGACGCUCAGGUGCGAAAGCGUGGGGAGCAAACAGGAUUAGAUACCCUGGUAGUCCACGCCGUAAACGAUGUCGACUUGGAGGUUGUGCCCUUGAGGCGUGGCUUCCGGAGCUAACGCGUUAAGUCGACCGCCUGGGGAGUACGGCCGCAAGGUUAAAACUCAAAUGAAUUGACGGGGGCCCGCACAAGCGGUGGAGCAUGUGGUUUAAUUCGAUGCAACGCGAAGAACC